UGUUGAUCUAAGUGUAGUGUUUACAACUAAUUGAUCACAACCAGUUACAGAUUCCUUUGUCACUUCUCCACUCCCACUGCUUCACUUGACCAGCCUAAA
rnacentral:Y_RNA from 1 species